CAGGAUGAACGCUAGCUACAGGCUUAACACAUGCAAGUCGAGGGUAGCAGGGUAGCAAUACCGCUGACGACCGGCGCACGGGUGAGUAACACGUAUCCAACCUUCCCAUAACUCAGGGAUAGCCUUUCGAAAGAAAGAUUAAUACCUGAUAGUACUUUUUCAAGGCAUCUUGAGAAAGUUAAAGAUUUAUUGGUUAUGGAUGGGGAUGCGUUCCAUUAGAUAGUUGGUGAGGUAACGGCUCACCAAGUCUUCGAUGGAUAGGGGUUCUGAGAGGAAGGUCCCCCACAUUGGUACUGAGACACGGACCAAACUCCUACGGGAGGCAGCAGUGAGGAAUAUUGGUCAAUGGGCGAGAGCCUGAACCAGCCAAGUAGCGUGAAGGAUGAAGGUCCUAUGGAUUGUAAACUUCUUUUAUAGUAGAAUAAAGUGAUCCACGUGUGGAUUUUUGUAUGUAUACUAUGAAUAAGGAUCGGCUAACUCCGUGCCAGCAGCCGC
rnacentral:rRNA from 1 species